GUUGACCUCGGAUCAGGUAGGGAUACCCGCUGAACUUAAGCAUAUCAAUAAGCGGAGGAAAAGAAUCCAACCGGGAUUGCCUCAGUAACGGCGAGUGAAGCGGCAAAAGCUCAAAUUUGAAAUCUGGCUCCUUCGGGGUCCGAGUUGUAAUUUGCAGAGGAUGCUUCGGUUGCGGCCCCCAUCUAAGUACCCUGGAACGGGUCGUCAUAGAGGGUGAGAAUCCCGUAUGGGAUGGGGUGUCCGCGUCCGUGUGAAGCUCCUUCGACGAGUCGAGUUGUUUGGGAAUGCAGCUCUAAAUGGGUGGUAAAUUUCAUCUAAAGCUAAAUACUGGCCGGAGACCGAUAGCGCACAAGUAGAGUGAUCGAAAGAUGAAAAGCACUUUGAAAAGAGAGUUAAACAGCACGUGAAAUUGUUGAAAGGGAAGCGCUUGCGAUCAGACUCGCCUACGGGGUUCAGCCGGCUUUCGGGCCGGUGUACUUCCCCGUGGGCGGGCCAGCGUCGGUUUGGGCGGCCGGUCAAAGGCCCCUGGAAUGUAGCGCCUCUCGGGGCGCCUUAUAGCCAGGGGUGCAAUGCGGCCUGCCUGGACCGAGGAACGCGCUCGGC
rnacentral:rRNA from 1 species